GAGCCAGCCUCCAAGAUGACCUCCAGAGAUUCUUGCCUCUGAGAGUCAUAUUGUCGCCUCUCACAAUGACUAGAUGACCUGUGUAAUCAAUACAGUAUUUCAGAAAUCACAGUGUGACUUCCCAGGUAUCCCUAAAACUAGGACAAUAGAAAACAUGGACAGAGUCAAGAAAAACCUGAAGGAAAGACAGUGAGACUCAUUAUAAAACUGUGUGUGUGCGUGUGUGUAUAAAAUUGCCAAUUCAUGACAUGAGAAA